rnacentral:rRNA from 1 species
GACAGAGGUGCCAAGCGUUAGGCGGAAUCACGUGGGCUUAAAAGGCGUGUGGUAGGCCGGAUCGGUUAAGUAACCUUGUGAAAUCCCACGGCGUCAACCCGUGGAACUGCUGCGGUAUACUGGCGGGUCUUGAGCCACCUAAGGGGCGAACUGGAACGAAGCGGUGGAAGCGGCGAAAUGCGUAGAUAAUCGCUUGGAACGCCAACGGUGAAAACAGGUUGCCUGGGGUGUGCUGACGCUGAGACACGAAAGCCAGGGGAGGCAAAACGGG